rnacentral:rRNA from 1 species
GAUGAACGCUGGCGGCGUGCUUAACACAUGCAAGUCGAACGGGGGCAAAGGAAGUGCUUGCACAACCUUUGUUCUAGUGGCGGACGGGUGAGUAACACGUGGGUAACCUGCCUCAUACAGGGGAAUAACAUUGAGAAAUUAAUGCUAAAACCGCAUGAGCCUGCGAUAUCGCAUGAUAUUGUAGGGAAAACUAUGGUGGUAUGAGAUGGGCCCGCGUCUGAUUAGCUAGUUGGUGAGGUAAUGGCUCACCAAGGCGACGAUCAGUAGCCGACCUGAGAGGGUGAUCGGCCACAUUGGGACUGAGACACGGCCCAAACUCCUACGGGAGGCAGCAGUGGGGAAUAUUGCACAAUGGGGGAAACCCUGAUGCAGCAACGCCGCGUGAAGGAAGAAGGGUUUCGGCUCGUAAACUUCUAUCGACAGGGAAGAAAGAAAUGACGGUACCUGAAUAAGAAGCCCCGGCUAACUACGUGCCAGCAGCCGCGGUAAUAC